rnacentral:rRNA from 1 species
AUUGAACGCUGGCGGCAGGCCUAACACAUGCAAGUCGAGCGGAAGAAGCGAGCUUGUUCCUGGAUUCAGCGGCGGACGGGUGAGUAAUGCCUAGGAAUCUGCCUGGUAGUGGGGGAUAACGUCCGCAAACGGGCGCUAAUACUGCAUACGUCCUGAGGGAGAAAGUGGGGGAUCUUCGGACCUUACGCUAGCAGAUGAGCCUAGGUCGGAUUAGCUAGUUGGUGGGGUAAAGGCCUACCAAGGCGACGAUCCGUAACUGGCCUGAGAGGAUGAUCAGUCACACUGGAGCUGAAACCCGGACCAGAGUCCUGCGGGAGGCAGCAGAGGGGUAUAUUGGACAAUGGUCGGGAGCCUGAUCCAGCGAUGCCACGUGUGAGAAAACGGUCUUGCGAUUGUAAAGAACUUUAUGUUGGGGGGAAGCGCAGUAGGUUAAUACCUUGCUGUUUUGACGUUACCAACAGAAUAAGCACCGGCUAACUUCGUG